AUUGAACGCUGGCGGCAGGCCUAACACAUGCAAGUCGAACGAGUGGCGGACGGAUGAGUAAUGUCUGGGCAACUGCCUGAGGGAGAGGGAUAAAUACUGGAAACGGAAACUAAAAACGCAUACCAGCGGAUGUGCCGAGAUGGGAUGAGCUAGUAGGUGGGGUAAAGGCUCACCUCGGCGACGAUCCCUAGCUGGUCUGAGAGGAUGACCAGCCACACUGGAACUGAGACACGGUCCAGACUCCUACGGGAGGCAGCAGUGGGGAAUAUUGCACAAUGGGCGCAAGCCUGAUGCAGCCAUGCCGCGUGUAUGAAGAAGGCCUUCGGGUUGUAAAGCACUUUCAGUGGGGAGGCGUUACCCGCAGAAGAAGCACCGGCUAACUCCGUGCCAGCAGCCGCGGUAAUAC
rnacentral:rRNA from 1 species